UAGAUGGCUUUUUAUUUUUCAGGCAAAUGAGC
rnacentral:piRNA from 1 species